GACGAACGCUGGCGGCGUGCUUAACACAUGCAAGUCGAGCGGUAAGGCCCUUCGGGGUACACGAGCGGCGAACGGGUGAGUAACACGUGAGCAAUCUGCCCUUCACUCUGGGAUAGCCACCGGAAACGGUGAUUAAUACCGGAUAUGACAACCUUCCGCAUGGUGGGUUGUGGAAAGUUCAGGCGGUGAAGGAUGGGCUCGCGGCCUAUCAGCUUGUUGGUGAGGUAAUGGCUCACCAAGGCUUCGACGGGUAGCCGGCCUGAGAGGGUGACCGGCCACACUGGGACUGGGACGCGGCCCAGACUCCUACGGGAGGCAGCAGUGGGGAAUAUUGGACAAUGGGCGAAAGCCUGAUCCAGCAACGCCGCGUGAGGGAUGACGGCCUUCGGGUUGUAAACCUCUUUCAGCAGGGACGAAGCGAAAGUGACGGUACCUGCAGAAGAAGCACCGGCCAACUACGUGCCAGCCGCCGCCGUAAUAC
rnacentral:rRNA from 1 species